GCUCAGGAUGAACGCUAGCGGCAGGCCUAAUACAUGCAAGUCGGACGGGAUCCAUCGGAGAGCUUGCUCGAAGAUGGUGAGAGUGGCGCACGGGUGCGUAACGCGUGAGCAACCUACCUCUAUCAGGGGGAUAGCCUCUCGAAAGAGAGAUUAACACCGCAUAAYAUMAWYAKCUSGCAUSKKCRKWUKAUUAAAUAUUUAUAGGAUAGAGAUGGGCUCGCGUGACAUUAGCUAGUUGGUAGGGUAACGGCUUACCAAGGCGACGAUGUCUAGGGGCUCUGAGAGGAGAAUCCCCCACACUGGUACUGAGACACGGACCAGACUCCUACGGGAGGCAGCAGUAAGGAAUAUUGGUCAAUGGGCGGAAGCCUGAACCAGCCAUGCCGCGUGCAGGAUGACUGCCCUAUGGGUUGUAAACUGCUUUUGUCCAGGAAUAAACCUARAUACGUGUAUYUAGCUGAAUGUACUGGAAGAAUAAGGAUCGGCUAACUCCGUGCCAGCAGCCGCGGUAAUACGGAGGAUCCGAGCGUUAUCCGGAUUUAUUGGGUUUAAAGGGUGCGUAGGCGGCCUAUUAAGUCAGGGGUGAAAUACGGUGGCUCAACCAUCGCAGUGCCUUUGAUACUGAUGGGCUUGAAUCCAUUUGAAGUGGGCGGAAUAAGACAAGUAGCGGUGAAAUGCAUAGAUAUGUCUUAGAACUCCGAUUGCGAAGGCAGCUCACUAAGCUGGUAUGACG
rnacentral:rRNA from 1 species